rnacentral:misc_RNA from 1 species
GAGAUGUUGCAUUUAGAAGGCAAAAAACUUGGAAACCAACAUUAUCAGCUAUCUUAGCCUUCCCUGCUUCACUUCCAUCUGUUAUAUAUUGCCCAGGCAAGUUGAAUAUAGCCAAGAAGGCAAUAGAAGCAAAAAGAACAGCAACAACAGUUACAGAGUUGGUGGUAUUUUGGACAGCCUCUCUGUGAAGUUUCCUUAGUUCUUUUGCAAUACCAGAAACCCUUCUGUUAGUUUUUUCAUUUUGUAUGAGUUGUGAGUGCACCUCAUGCUUUAUAUCACUCACGGUCCUCUUAAGUUCCAUUGCUUCAUCCACUUGACCAACAUACCUAGCAUGCUUGGCACCAGCCUCUGUAAGAGCUUCCUUGAUUUCCAAUGCUGAUUCUCCAUAUUGGAGUUUAUCCGCCAAAUCCAUUGCAGUUUCACGUUGAUUAUUGAUGGCAUUGACAUCGACAGAUGUAUAGCUCAGCAAGAGGCUUACAAUCAUUGGACGAGAUUUCCUUGUGGCUAUAUGUACUGCCGUGUUACCCUUCUUGUCACGCUCAUUUAGUAUUGAAGAAUCAGCCAAUAAUAUGUCCUCAACUACAGCAAUGCUCUGGCCCUUUACAGCCAUAUGGAGAGCAGUUUGGCCUUUCUUAUCUUUGAUGCAGACAAUUCCUGGAUCACGGUCUAUUAAUGCUUUUACGAUUCGAACAAGGCCAUACCUAGCAGCUGUGUGCAAUGCGGUUUUCCCAUUUUUCCUCACUAUCCUUACUGAACUGACAUCAACAUCCAAGAUUGCAUUCACCACAUCCAAAUGAUCUUGAACAGCUGCUGAGUAAAGGGGGCUAGUAUUUGAGGAGUCACAGAACUUGCAAAGCUCAGGCCAAAUGCUCAAAAGCUUUUUAACAAUACCCAAAUGACCCUUCUUAGCUGCAACAUGGAAGGCAUCCAAGCCAGACUUGGCCCUGAUCUUGACAGCUUCCACAUCAUAAAAGUUGAUCAAAUAGCUAAAAACCUCUUCCAAAUUAUUAUCUGCAGCUAUAUACAACGCAGGCUCCCCUGCAAUAGUUUGCGCAGCCAUUAGAUCAGACACAGGAGAGGACCCAUCGGACGGCUCAUCUUUUGUCAACUUCUCCACAAUCUCUUUCAGAGAGUGAAGGUCGCCUGAUCGCACGGCCGAGAAGAAGGAUUGGUGGGUUAUGAAGGGUAGUGAUUUUGCCUCCAUCAUAAAGUCAGACUAAGAUCACUGUCUAGAAAAGAGAAGAAGAAGAAGAAGAAAGAAAGGGACAUGGGUGGGUUAAGUUCUCCUUCAAUGGAGAACAAAGUACCAGCUGUAAAAGACUAAAAAAAAGAGUUCCUUCUUUAAAGAUUCUCACUUUCUGCUUAAAGAAGGUUUCUUCUUGUUCCUGGAUGCAAAGAAAGAGAGGGGCAGAUGCUAAAACGAGUCACUUGGAAUGGAGAAGAGAGUGAUGGUGGGCUUGGGAAAAUGAUGAAGCUGACAUAAGGAUAAUGGGUGGUGUGGAGAUAAUGGG